CAGCCCUUAGAAAGAAAGAAAGAAAGAAAGAAAGAAAGGAAGAGAAAGAAAGAAAGAAAGAGUGCCUGUGUCAACCACGAGUAAAGGCAAGAAAUUAAGCAAUUUUGGCAUGUGGCAAAAUGUUCUCAGUUGCUAAAUCUAGGUGGAAGAUGUAUGGUUAGUCAUUGCACCACUCUGAACUUCUCAAUAUGUUUACAAUUUUUCAAACCAACCCCUCUUCUUCCUCUGGAUUUCUGAAUGUGACAUCUGUAACUGAAGCAGCGGUGAGGAAGCCUGGACUGAGGAUCAAGCUGAAAUGCUGACGUGGCUCUGGGUUCCUGCUGACCUCAUAGAAGAUAACAGAAGUGCCAUUGUGCAAGUUCCAGAACCUGCAUUUCAGAAACCUUAGCUUCUGCUUUUCCCUCUUGAAGACGUCUCUGAAUCUGCCAUUAAGGAAACUAGUUUAACCUACUGGAGGAUAAGAGGUCAUGUGGAAGAAAUUUAGACAAGAGCCAAGAGCAACUGCCAGACAUGUGAAUGAAGUCCCUUUGGACCUUCGUGCCCACCAGAUAGCCCAGUUGAAUUCCGCCAUGUGACUGAGGCCAGACUUAGAAAGACCUUCCCAUACAGAAGUCAGAGGUGGAGAAGAGACAGAGCAAAUAUGGAGAAACCAGUAGUGCCUGGCCAAGUGCCCAGCAUUGGGAGGUGUUCGGUGUAUUGUUUGGGAAGCCAUAUUUUCUGGCACUGGAAUCAAGGCACCUGGGUGCCCAUGGGACCAUCAACCAUGCUGGGGAGAACACUGCUAAAUGCUCCACAAAAUCACGUCUGUGAAGAAGGAAGAUUGAUGGUGGCCCCUGCACGAGGCACAGACAAGACCUGUCAUAGUUGUCAUGUGGUUAUGGCAGUUUUCACCAGUGAAAUUGACCAAUUCAUCAACUGCUCACCAGGCACCGGGGAAGUCACAGUCAGACCUACAUUCGCCUUCAAAUAACAUUCUCAGGUUAGGAACUGGCCAUGACUAAAAGAGCAGAGCUGUAGAAACAUUGGGAGCAUGACCUGUGUACUCAAGUGAAAACCACAGUGUCAAGAAGGAAGCGUUGACACUCAGUGAACAUGCUAAAAACCAAUGAUGAAGCUGGGAUUCUGCAGCCACCAACCCACCAGAACUGCUCAUCCAAGGUUACUGCUGACCACCGUCUUGCCGGAUCCAGAGGCCACUUCGAUGUCUGUAUCAGACUCAGCUUCUCUGCAGUUGGUCAGUUUCCUUCCAACGGCGUUUUCAGCACUUGGAUUCCAAGUUACUUCACUGUUUUCUGGAGACCAAGACAGACCCUUUCUUUCCUUCUCUUAGGACAAUGGACUUCACUGGAAUUGCAUAUGAUUGUCCUUUUAAAAUGUGCAGAAGAAUUCUUCUGUCUUUCCCAGACACUUGGCAACAGGCUGGACAGGUAGUAGAAGCCCAGCAGAUGCAUUUGUUGAUGGAUAGAAUGAAAAUUACCUAGGCCGAUUUCACCUUGGGAGUUUCCUCAAUAUAGACUGGAGGACUUGUUGCUUUGUUAGAGGCACCCUAGGGGGUUCCCCAUCUGCAGCUUGGUAGGAAACAACAUUCUUUUAGCAGCCUUGACGCAACUAGCAUGGCAAUGGCCACAGCCUGCCUUUGUGAACAGGAGGCAGGGGCAUUAGCUGCAUUGUUUCUGGAUGUUGGCACAAAUGUGGUCCUGCCCUCUGGUUCUCCAGAACAAAGCUGGAGGUUGAAUCCCUUUUGUUGGGGUAGAGAAGGCGGUGUAUUGAGCUCCGUGGAAAAUGGACAGGAGGACUCUGACAGAUGGGGGAAGGGUCACCCCCCACAGUAGGGGGUCAGUCUGGAAGUGGGUACUAUAGCAACCCACUGAGAAUUAUCCUGUGAAUUAAAGGAUGGUUGGAUGCAUGGGGUCUGCCCAGGCAGGGAACCUGGCUGGGUCUUUGUCAACCAACAGACGAGAGGCUGGUUUGCAGCUGUGUGAUUUGACAGUUUGGUUGUGUUCAGACAGCUCUGUGCUGUGGAGACGACAUGACUCUUGAGUUUCGCUGCAUGUCUGUAUGUAAACCAGGGACAUACAAAGCGGGGAGGCGGGGGAGCCCUCCACCAGGAUGCACAAGCAGUGAAUUUCUGUGCGUGUGUGCGCGCGUGCAUGUGUAUAGAAUUUAAAAGCAAUAAUAAAACUGACUAAAAGUAGGUUUGCUUUUU